rnacentral:rRNA from 1 species
GUAACAAGGUUUCCGUAGGUACGUAAAGAAUCGUUCCCAUCCCCCCGAAGUCAAUGGGAUUUUUUAUACUAACUAUAUCACUAGGUGAACCUGCGGAAGGAUCAUUAACGAGUUAGGGUCCAUCACGGGCCCGACCUCCCAACCCUUUGUUUAUCAUACCUUGUGUUGCUUCGGUAGGCCUGGCCAGUCCUGCCGGGGGGCCGUCACACGCCCUCUGGAGAGCGCCUACCGAUAGCCCCAACCACACAAACUCUUGAACCAAACGUGUCUUUGUCUGAGUAUACCUUGCAAUUAAAAAGCAAAACUUUCAACAACGGAUCUCUUGGUUCUGGCAUCGAUGAAGAACGCAGCGAAAUGCGAUAAGUAAUGCGAAUUGCAGAAUUCUCGUGAGUCAUCGAAUCUUUGAACGCACAUUGCGCCCUUUGGUAUUCCGAAGGGCAUGCCUGUUCGAGCGUCAUUUUCACCCCUCAAGCCCCCGGCUUGGUGUUGGACGGUUUGGUCGGGGCGCGCCCCUUGACCCCUCCCAAAGACAAUGACGGCGGGCUGUUCGGACCCCCGGUACACUGAGCGUCUUAACUGAGCACGUACCGGUCUCCAUGGGUCCGCGGCCCCGGUCCCCCCCAACCUAUGUUUCUUUAACCAGGUUGACCUCGGAUCAGGUAGGAAUACCCGCUGAACUUAAGCAUAUCAAUAA